GAUGAACGCUAGCGGCAGGCUUAAUACAUGCAAGUCGAGGGGCAGCAUGGGUAGCAAUACCUGAUGGCGACCGGCAAACGGGUGCGGAACACGUACGCAACCUUCCCAUAACUGGUGAAUAGCCCUCCGAAAGGAGGAUUAAUACACCGUAACAUAAUGAAGAGGCAUCUCUUUAUUAUUAUAGGCUUCGGCUGGUUUUGGAUGGGCGUGCGCCUGAUUAGGUAGUUGGCGGGGUAACGGCCCACCAAGCCUACGAUCAGUAACUGGUGUGAGAGCACGACCAGUCACACGGGCACUGAGACACGGGCCCGACUCCUACGGGAGGCAGCAGUAAGGAAUAUUGGUCAAUGGACGAAAGUCUGAACCAGCCAUGCCGCGUGAAGGAUGAAGGCCCUCUGGGUUGUAAACUGCUUUUGUACAGAACGAAAAAGACUCUGGUUAAUACCUGGAGUCCAUGACGGUACUGUAAGAAUAAGCACCGGCUAACUACGUGCCAGCAG
rnacentral:rRNA from 1 species